GGCCAGUGUUGUCUGGCGUCACCAAGUUUUAUAUAUCGUUGCUUCUAAUUAAAGGCCAUUUGAUUUUCAGAAGUUAAUAAAAAAAAGGCCAUAAACCGGUAUCAUACCAUAAGAAUGCCAAGAAUGCUAAGUACCCAACUCAUAUUCUUCCAGAGUGACCUUUAUUAAAGGCUGCCUCUACUACUUUGCCAACUAACAUGUCAGGUGGCAGGAACAUUUCUACCUAUCACAGCCUACUCCACUUUAAAAAGCAAAGGCAAGUGAAAAGGCCUUCUUUAAGUAAUCAAAGCCGCUCAAAUUCCUCCGGCAAAAAGUCCUAGUACAAACAAUCUCAAAAAUGGCAAAAUCAAAUUUCAAAAGCCACGUCCAGUGCCAGCAAGUGAUUCAGAAGAAUUCUGAGAAAGGUAAUAUUAACAUUUUAGUGGUGGAACCCUUGGAGAGGAGCCAGGAAGCCUGGACUCUCUCCUAGCUAGGUCAUUAAAUCUUGCAGGGGGAGGGAAGGCACACACAGAUAAAAACUAGUCAAAUGGCAUCUCGCAGCCAAGCUAUCUUGACAGCUCUCGGCCGUCAGCAGGACCUAGACAAUGAUGCUCUUCAAGAAGACAGGCUGGAGUGCAGUGGCGUGAUUAUGGCUCACUGCAGCCUCAACCUCCCAGGCUCAAGCGAUCCUCCUGCUGCAGUCACCCGAGUAGCUGGGACUAGAUGUGCAACCACACUCAGCAGGAGCAGUGAGCGACUACGAAGAAUGCAGGCAACUGCACACACUGCAGGUUCCAGCACAUCAACGCAGUGCUGGCUUCCGGGUUCCGGUGAACUGCAGCAAUACAGCUCCGACAGCAGCAGCAGCUCAUCUGUGCGUGGAGGCUCCUGGGUUCUAGCCCACAGGCAGCUUUCUCACCUCUGGAUAACAACCCUCUUCUCCCUUUUGCUUCUCCUAAGCCUUUCCAACACCUCUCUAAUAAAUCCCUUGCAUUUA